AUGGACCUGGGCCGCCUCAACUAUGGGAUUAUUACUCUAAUCCCUAAGGUCCUGGGUGCUUCGGAUAUUCGCUAGUUCCGCCCAAUGACGGUGAUCAACGUGAUCUUUUGGAUCCUAGCGAAGGGGUACAUCAAUAGGGUGACCUCGCCCGCUAACUCCAUGACCCACCCCAACCAAUCCGCCUUCAUCCAAGGCCAGUUCAUUCUCGAUGGCGUGUUGGCGUUCCACGAAGUACUGCACGAAGUCCGCUCCAAGCGCCAGCGAGCGGUCUUCCUGAAGCUUGACUUCCAUAAAGCUUAUGACACGGUUCGGUGGUCCUUCAUUUGUAAAGUCCUACGCAAGGGCUUGGAUGAUCGCUGGGUCACCCGAGUCAUGCAGCUAGUCUCGUGCAGGUGGACCGUGAUGCGUCUUGGACUACGUCGGUAUUUCCCCAAAGAGAAAGGGAUGGUGUAG
rnacentral:rRNA from 1 species